UACAGAGGGGGCAAGCGUUAUUCGGAAUUACUGGGCGUAAAGCGCACGUAGGCGGCUUUGUAAGUUAGAGGUGAAAGCCCGGAGCUCAACUCCGGAAUUGCCUUUAAGACUGCAUCGCUUGAAUCCAGGAGAGGUGAGUGGAAUUCCGAGUGUAGAGGUGAAAUUCGUAGAUAUUCGGAAGAACACCAGUGGCGAAGGCGGCUCACUGGACUGGUAUUGACGCUGAGGUGCGAAAGCGUGGGGAGCAAACAGG
rnacentral:rRNA from 1 species